AACUCUUCCAAAAUAUUUCAUGACAAGUCAUUUUUCUAAAAAUGAUAUAGACGGUUAUUUUUGUUAUUUAUCUCCUUUUUAAUGGCUAGUUGACAUGCUCUAAAAAAUUAAAUAGCCCCACUAGUUUCCACUUUCCACGGUGCUGUGCAGCCACCCAGAAUGUCAUCCGCGAAACUUCGGUUUCAAAUUAGGUAGGCAUUUCAUUGCAUUGACUCCACAAUCUACAUACCUAUUUAACUUGCAGCCACUCAACACAGACCCAAAUACCCAAUUCUAAGUACCAAUUUUCUGAUUCUAUAGUCUACAUCCCACCUACCAAAUCUUCACUGCAGUCGCCUUCUUCUCAAACACAUAAUUCUAAUUCCCUGUGUGUAAAGCGAGAGAUGGAAGCACCUCAAGUUGAAGCCAUGGAGACCACAACAAGCACAAACAAUCCUCCAGAGGAUGAUUCACAAGAUAAUAUCAUCGAUACCUGUUGUUCAUGCGUCUACGAUUGCACAGAGACUUUGUUUGACUACUUGUUCUGUGGCCUCUGUUAGAUUCAUCGAUCGACGAUCGAUAAUUUAACUUCUCAUGGAGCUUACAACUGAUUAUUCUAGAUCCGAAUCAGGACUGAUAAUUUUUCUCUGGAAUUUUUCCUCAAUUAAGCAACUAGUUUUCUCUUCUCUUUGAAUCGUUGUUAUUACUA